rnacentral:rRNA from 1 species
GAACGGUAACAGGCCCGCAAGGGUGCUGACGAGUGGCGGACGGGUGAGGAAUACAUCGGAAUUUACCCAGUCGUGGGGGAUAACGUAGGGAAACUUACGCUAAUACCGCAUACGACCGAGAGGUGAAAGCGUGGGACCGCAAGGCCUCGCGCGAUUGGAUGAGCCGAUGUCGGAUUAGCUAGUUGGCGGGGUAAAGGCCCACCAAGGCGACGAUCCGUAGCUGGUCUGAGAGGAUGAUCAGCCACACUGGGACUGAGACACGGCCCAGACUCCUACGGGAGGCAGCAGUGGGGAAUAUUGGACAAUGGGGGCAACCCUGAUCCAGCAAUGCCGCGUGUGUGAAGAAGGCCUUCGGGUUGUAAAGCACUUUUAUCCGGAACGAAACGUGUUGGGUGAAUAGCCCAGCAAACUGACGGUACCGGAGGAGUAAGCACCGGCUAACUUCGUG